rnacentral:rRNA from 1 species
GAUGAACGCUAGCUACAGGCUUAACACAUGCAAGUCGAGGGGUAACGAGAGGAAAGCUUGCUUUCCUUGUCGACGACCGGCGCACGGGUGAGUAACGCGUAUCCAACCUGCCCCCAACUAGGGAAUAACCUUGCGAAAGUAAGACUAAUACCCUAUAAUUUCCUCAGAUGACAUCUGACGAGGAAUAAAGAUUUAUCGGUUGUGGAUGGGGAUGCGUCUGAUUAGCUUGUUGGCGGGGUAACGGCCCACCAAGGCAACGAUCAGUAGGGGUUCUGAGAGGAAAGUCCCCCACAUUGGAACUGAGAAACGGUCCAAACUCCUACGGGAGGAAGCAGUGAGGAAUAUUGGUCAAUGGGCGGAAGCCUGAACCAGCCAAGUAGCGUGCAGGAUGACGGCCCUAUGGGUUGUAAACUGCUUUUAUACAGGAAUAAAGUUAGCCACGUGUGGUUAUUUGUAGGUACUGUAUGAAUAAGGACCGGCUAAUUCCGUGCCAGCCGCCGCCGUAA